UAAUACGAAGGGUGCAAACGUUGCUCGGAAUUAUUGGGCGUAAAGCGCACGUAGGCGGCAUUGCAAGUCGGAUGUGAAAUCUUAUGGCUUAACCAUAAAAGUGCAUCCGAAACUGCAGUGCUUGAGUACUUAAGAGGAUCGCGGAAUUCCCGGUGUAGAGGUGAAAUUCGUAGAUAUCGGGAGGAACACCAGUGGCGAAGGCGGCGAUCUGGGAAGAUACUGACGCUGAGGUGCGAAAGCGUGGGGAGCAAACA
rnacentral:rRNA from 1 species